rnacentral:rRNA from 1 species
GGGUAGUGAGAGGGGAUCUUGAAACCCAAAAUUUUUGGCGGUUUUUUAGACUUGUUGGAGGAAUCUGUUCUGUGAUUGAUGGUACGCUGUUUGUUUAACUUUAGAGAUGGGUUUAUAUAUCGCCGUCAGAAAGUAAGUUUUUUAGAAUUUAUUGGAAAAUUGGGACAUGGAAAUGAGAUGGCAGGUCAAGGUGUAGCUUAUGCUGGAGGGUGAGAUGGAUUACAAUAUUUUAUUAAUAUAUACGGAUAAUAAUUAGAAUAAGUUUUUGUUGGAAGGUGGAUUCAUAGGUAAUAGGGAAUUAAGAUGUUUUUGUGAUUAUAGCUCUAAAGAAUGU